GCUGAAUGUGGGGAUAAUUUAUCUCCGUGUUGAAGCUAACGCGUUAAGCACUCCGCCUGGGGACUACGGUCGCAAGACUAAAACUCAAAGGAAUUGACGGGGACCCGCACAAGCGGUGGAGCAUGUGGUUUAAUUCGAUGCAACGCGAAAAACCUUACCACUCCUUGACAUGGAGAUUAGAUCCUUCUUAACGGAAGGGCGCAGUUCGGCUGGGUCUCGCACAGGUGCUGCAUGGCUGUCGUCAGCUCGUGUCGUGAGAUGUUGGGUUAAGUCCCGCAACGAGCGUAACCCUCAUCCUUAGUUGCCAGCGGAUAAUGCCGGGUACUUUAAGGAAACUGCCGGUGGUAAACCGGAGGAAGGUGGGGAUGAUGUCAAGUCAGCACGGCCCUUAUGGGGUGGGCUACACACGUGCUACAAUGGUGACUACAAUAGGUUGCAACGCCGCAAGGCUGAGCUAAUCCAUAAAAGUCAUCUCAGUUCGGAUUGUCCUCUGUAACUCGAGGGCAUGAAGUCGGAAUCGCUAGUAAUCGUGGAUCAGCAUGCCACGGUGAAUACGUUCUCGGGUCUUGUACACACUGCCCGUCACGCCAUGGGAAUUGGCUUAACUCGAAGCUGGUGCGCUAACCGAAAGGAAGCAGCCAU
rnacentral:rRNA from 1 species